rnacentral:rRNA from 1 species
ACUACGGGGGGCAGCAGUGGGGAAUAUUGCACAAUGGGGGGAACCCUGAUGCAGCGACGCCGCGUGAGUGAAGAAGUAUUUCGGUAUGUAAAGCUCUAUCAGCAGGAACGAGACAAGACGGUACCUAACUAAGAAGCCCCGGCUAACUACGUGCCAGCAGCCGCGGUAAUACGUAGGGGGCAAGCGUUAUCCGGAAUCACUGGGUGUAAAGGGAGCGUAGACGGCUGAGCAAGCCUGAAGUGAAAGGCGGGGGCCCAACCCCCGGACUGCUUUGGGAACUGUACGGCUGGAGUGCAGGAGAGGUAAGUGGAAUUCCUAGUGUAGCGGUGAAAUGCGUAGAUAUUAGGAGGAACACCAGUGGCGAAGGCGGCUUACUGGACUGUAACUGACGUUGAGGCUCGAAAGCGUGGGGAGCAAACAGGAUUAGAUACCCUUGUAGUC